UACGAAGGGGGCUAGCGUUGUUCGGAAUCACUGGGCGUAAAGCGCACGCAGGCGGAUCGAUAAGUCAGGGGUGAAAUCCUGGAGCUCAACUCCAGAACUGCCUUUGAUACUGAGAAGCUUGAGUCCGGGAGAGGUGAGUGGAACUGCGAGUGUAGAGGUGAAAUUCGUAGAUAUUCGCAAGAACACCAGUGGCGAAGGCGGCUCACUGGCCCGGUACUGACGCUGAGGUGCGAAAGCGUGGGGAGCAAACAGG
rnacentral:rRNA from 1 species